UAGGGAAUCUUCCACAAUGGGCGCAAGCCUGAUGGAGCAACGCCGCGUGAGUGAAGAAGGUCUUCGGAUCGUAAAACUCUGUUGUUAGAGAAGAACACGAGUGAGAGUAACUGUUCAUUCGAUGACGGUAUCUAACCAGCAAGUCACGGCUAACUACGUGCCNG
rnacentral:rRNA from 1 species